GCGCUCAGCAACGACCAGCCGAAGAUGGCAUUAGUGAGACAAGCUUGUGACGCUUUCUAUGGCCCCGCAACAUAUACAUUCUUUCGAGACUCACGCUUGUCAAAGACGCGACGAGGGAUAGCCAAUAGUGAUAACAUUGGAGUGUGUUGCUUGCGCCGGCAGAACGCGCAAGAGAUAGCGCUGAGGAGCUCAAAAACCAAGAACUCGGAAAUUCUGUAUUCUGAACGACUGAAAACAGGCUGUGCACCCACGCUCGAGUAGAAGGCAUUCUGCGAGAGUUUAUCAUGGUCUGGCUGAGAGCCUGUGUUGUGGCCACCUCUGUGUGUGUUGCGUGCAAUCGCGUCGGCUGUGGCCAAGUUUUUCUUUUCUUCUUCUUCUUUUUCUUUUUUUUUGGAAUGGGCAGUCGUCCUUGCAUUUGUCCUCUGAAAUUGCCGGAAAUAAUGCCCGGGAAUGGGGGAAUGCCUGGAAAUGAGGUGUUUUCUUCAUAACUUAUAGUACGGCGUGGAAUGAGUCGGGUAUUUUCGACUCCAUUUAUGGAAAAGCGAAUUGCUUUUGUUUGUAAUGUUGCCCAUUCACCCCUUCCGCACGUUUCCCCUCGACAAUCAGUAUUCCUAUAAGGGCUAAAUACCAAAAUUACACCUGCUUGUAAUUUGCUUUUUUCAGCUGAUGCCGUCCGAUGAAGCUUCGUACGGGAACUACCGCAGCUUACCUGGUGCUACAACGUUUGAAGAACGCACAAAAGCCAGGAACGAGCAUUUAUAUUGAGUGAAAUAAACAUUUCCUCAUUUACAAAGCGUUUUGCGUCUACUUUAUGAAAGAGCAGGUGACACAGAUUCGACGGAGGCUUGUAAAGGUUGUUCGCAAUCAUUUUAAUAAACGACUCCGAACUAAGACGGCGCGGGACUGAGGAGCAGAAGUAAAAAAAGAAAGAAAGAAAAGCGUCGAGUAGCGCAGCCGGUGUUGCGCGUCCAGCUAGCGUUCAAAACGCGCGCGCCCAAAACCGAAACCGGUAUGAGUUAAUCCCAUCCGCUUGGUGCGCUACAGUCAAUUCGACCGCUGGGCUCUAUGGGAGUGUACGCUUUUGUUGACUGUCUUUCUCUAUGCCCGUACCACAUAGUACCGAUCGCUGAUGGACUUCAAUAAAAAACGAGAGACUACGCAUGUAUAUAUGACGUGCUUCACUCAAUUUACGUCGCAGGGCAAACGUUAGAAAAAGAAAAGGAGUGUGGUUGGUGCAGCGCUGGAAGACAAAGGUGAUCACGCGACCUCGUUCUUGGUCGGCGCAGAACCAGCAUAUAGCGAGGAUUUACAGCGCAGAAGCGUCGCAGGUAGCACUUGGUCAAGUUGGUCAUGCCAGUCGAUUCACUAAUUGUCCUCAGGCACCGUGGCUUCCACCACGACGCGCCGGCGCCGCAGCGCUGGUCGUGGGACAUCAUCGCUGCCGGUCUGCUCUCGGUGAUGUUGCUCAGC